CCGUGCAAAGCCGAGCAGAGCCGUGCCGAGCAGAGCCGAGCCGAGCCGUGCCGAGCAGAGCCAAGCCGUGCCGCACCGUGGUGGCUGCUGCGCCCGGCGGGGAGCGGCGAGGACCCUCGGAACCGUGCCAGGGCACCCGACCCAACCGAUCCCGUCAGUCAGCAGCCACAACGCCAGCACUGAGGUUCGCUCUUCCGUCCAUGCCGCCGUCCCAAGCAGCACAGGGAUGGACGACGUCUGUCCGCUGUGCAGGCUCUUAUUGAAGCCACUCAGCGAAACCGUUGGUUUGCCAGCAUUUGAGUGUGGUUAAUCAACUAACAAGCUUAUAAACACAAUGGAUGCAGCAACGCUUUGCUCUCUGUUGCCGAAGGGUCUCAAGCCACUUCAGGACACGUCGGAUUAGCUCUGGCUCUCACCAUGGCUGCGGGAGCCGAGGCACGACGUUUGGGGCGCACGGCACAGACACUUCCUGCCCAGCCCUGAAAUCCCCACCUGGGGCUCGGGAUCCGUGUCUCAGACUCCAGUCCCACCUCUUGCUGCCCUAGGAGGAGCGGUCGUCUUGCAACACCUGCCCAAACACGGGGCGCGUUCCUGGCUCCAGCAGCUGGCAGAGGCCAACUGGUUGUACUGGUCCCACUGGGCAGAGCGGGGCUGCAGCCUGCCCUGACACGGAGCCUGCUUUGGGGCCGCAGAGUGGCGCGAGGCUGAGUCAAUGGGGCAAGGCUCUGCGGAGGAACCUGGAAAAUUUCCCCUUGUCUGAGGAACUGCCCGUGGGCGCUCGGCCUGCCCAGCACCCGCUGCUCCUUGCACCAGGACGGAGAAGGUCGGGAGACAAAGCCGCACAAGUCAGAGAGCUUAGGAUGAGCCAGGAGGAUCAGAGCAGCCAGAGAAUGAAACGUUUAAUUGCAAAGGCAACACAGAAAGGACAGAGCAAAUCCACGUUUUGUUUGUUUGCUGUUUGAAAUGCAUGCCUGGGAGGAAGGCAUUGUUCUGCCAGCUCUGUGAAGGACAGAAAUACACCACAACCUUCAGCAGCGCCGAGCGGCGAACCCUCAGUGUUAGCAUUCAGAGGCUGCAUCAUGGACGCCGUUACAUUGUGCGGCAUGGGACAUGCUUUCCAGACUCAAAUAUAAAUAGUUUUUUUUUUUUUUUUUUUUUUUUUCCUGUGUUCUGUUUACUGUGCGUCGAAAUCAGAUUUUCCCUAAUGGUCCUUUAUAAAUAGUUUCCACCCACCCUCUGCUUGAAAGCUUCUCUGACUCACAUUGAAAAUUAGGUUCUUCCCCUCCUCGCUAUUGAGAACAAUUAUAGCUCUUUGUUCAAUGGGAAUUAAGAAGCAUGAGGGCUGAAUCCAUCCACAGGAAAAUUGUCACUCUCUUUUGUUUUCUGCCUGCAAUAAUUAUCCUGCCAACCGCUCGCUCUGACAUCCUUAAACCCUCCGUGCCUCCACCGAGCAUCCGCUGCGCCCCAGCUCCAGCCCGCCGGCGUGCUUUGUGCUGAUUCACUUUAUUGGCUCCCUCGUUAGCCACAUCCUCGUUACCUUGCCUUGGCGUUUCCCACCGAGCUGCGCCUUCCAUCAGGAGGGAGGCAGCCCUGUGAAGUCUGGGCCGGCAUGGGCAAGAGGGGGACAGAAGGAGCAGCUGGUCCUCUGGCACGGCCCCAGGGGUUUGAUUAUUUCUCAGAAAAGAUUUCACCCUGUUGCUGCUGAAAGAGGACAAGGCGCAGAGAAACCACAACUUCAAAACAUCCCUCCCGGGCCCAAAAGGGGGCUGCUGUCCCUGCGGGAAUGCCUGGAAGCUCUGGGGGAGGGGGUCCCAUCCUGGCUGGCUCUUGUCCGCGCUCAGCCGGGUUUUAUUUUUGGUGCAUUCCCUGGAAAUCCAGCGGUCUCUGGGCUUGGAGGGGGGUGGCUCGGAGCUGCCACCUCCGCUGCCACCGGCGGUGUCAGGCCAGUGACCAUGGGCACCUCCAGGAGAUCCCUCCUCAGGGCCAAGGGCACGAUGCUGUGGGGUGACAGAGAGAAAACAGGGACACAAGAAGUGAUGAAGAAGGCCAGGAGAGCUGCCUGGUGAAUAAACACUUUUCUCUUUCUGCAAGUCUGCUCCAGUGUGAAAACGCCUGUUUAAAGAACACGACUAAAUCCUACCCGAUUUUUUUAAAGGAUCCAGAAUGACUAACCAUUGACCCCUCCAGCCACACACUCAUUUUUCAUUAAACUGUUCCUUGGAUCUUAUAAGCAGAGAGAGAGAGAACAAGCAGGCGAGUGAGCGAAAACAACCAACAGUGCCCUGGGGCUAUAAUAACCGAGGUAGGAACAUUUUAAAUUAUACCUUGGGUCAAAAUGAUUUUAGAUUGAUCAGAAACCGAAAUUACCCCUGAGUUCCAGUUGAUUGUCUGUGUCUUGAGUUCAUCUGGAGGCUGCGUUUCUCCAGCAGCCCCCAUUAUCAUUAUUAUGAGGAGUGUGUAUACAUUGACCCUGUUAUUUUAAGCAGCAGAGGAGAAAAGAAACAGCCUUUGAACCUUAAAA